rnacentral:rRNA from 1 species
CCGACCUUGAAAUACCACCCUUUAAUGUUUGAUGUUCUAACGUGGACCCGUGAUCCGGGUUGCGGACAGUGUCUGGUGGGUAGUUUGACUGGGGCGGUCUCCUCCUAAAGAGUAACGGAGGAGCACGAAGGUUGGCUAAUCCUGGUCGGACAUCAGGAGGUUAGUGCAAUGGCAUAAGCCAGCUUGACUGCGAGCGUGACGGCGCGAGCAGGUGCGAAAGCAGGUCAUAGUGAUCCGGUGGUUCUGAAUGGAAGGGCCAUCGCUCAACGGAUAAAAGGUACUCCGGGGAUAACAGGCUGAUACCGCCCAAGAGUUCAUAUCGACGGCGGUGUUUGGCACCUCGAUGUCGGCUCAUCACAUCCUGGGGCUGAAGUAGGUCCCAAGGGUAUGGCUGUUCGCCAUUUAAAGUGGUACGCGAGCUGGGUUUAGAACGUCGUGAGACAGUUCGGUCCCUAUCUGCCGUGGGCGCUGGAGAACUGAGGGGGGCUGCUCCUAGUACGAGAGGACCGGAGUGGACGCAUCACUGGUGUUCGGGUUGUCAUGCCAAUGGCACUGCCCGGUAGCUAAAUGCGGAAGAGAUAAGUGCUGAAAGCAUCUAAGCACGAAACUUGCCCCGAGAUGAGUUCUCCCUGAGACUUUAGGUCUCCUGAAGGAACGUUGAAGACGACGACGUUGAUAGGCCGGGUGUGUAAGCGCAGCGAUGCGUUGAGCUAACCGGUACUAAUGAACCGUGAGGCUUAACCUU